CCUACGGGUGGCAGCAGUGGGGAAUAUUGCACAAUGGGGGAAACCCUGAUGCAGCGACGCCGCGUGAGUGAAGAAGCGCCUCGGCGCGUAAAGCUCUGUCAGCCGGAACGACGAUGACGGUACCUGAAGAAGAAGCCCCGGCUAACUACGUGCCAGCAGCCGCGGUAAUACGUAGGGGGCAAGCGUUAUCCGGAUUUACUGGGUGUAAGGGGAGCGUAGCCGGGGGGGAAAGUCUGGAGUGAAAGGCCGGGGCCAAACCCCGGGACCGCUCUGGAAACUGCCUGGCUGGAGUGCGGGAGAGGUAGGCGGAAUUCCUAGUGUAGCGGUGAAAUGCGUAGAUAUUAGGAGGAACACCGGCUGCGAAGGCGGCUUACGGAACCGUGACUGACGUUGAGGCUCGAAAGCGUGGGUAGCAAACAGGAUUAGAUACCCGGGUAGUC
rnacentral:rRNA from 1 species